rnacentral:rRNA from 1 species
GUCUAGUUAGCAAUUAUACCGCGAAACUGCGAAUGGCUCAUUAUAUAAGUUAUCGUUUAUUUGAUAGUACCUUACUACUUGGAUAACCGUGGUAAUUCUAGAGCUAAUACAUGCUAAAAAUCCCGACUUCGGAAGGGAUGUAUUUAUUAGAUUAAAAACCAAUGCCCUUCGGGGCUCCUUGGUGAUUCAUGAUAACUUCUCGAAUCGCAUGGCCUUGUGCCGGCGAUGGUUCAUUCAAAUUUCUUCCCUAUCAACUUUCGAUGUUUGGGUCUUGGCCAAACAUGGUUGCAACGGGUAACGGAGGGUUAGGGCUCGACCCCGGAGAAGGAGCCUGAGAAACGGCUACUACAUCCAAGGAAGGCAGCAGGCGCGCAAAUUACCCAAUCCCGACUCGGGGAGGUAGUGACAAUAAAUACUGAUACAGGGCUCUUUUGGGUCUUGUAAUUGGAAUGAGUACAAUUUAAAUCCCUUAACGAGGAACAAUUGGAGGGCAAGUCUGGUGCCAGCAGCCGCGGUAAUUCCAGCUCCAAUAGCGUAUAUUAAAGUUGUUGUGGUUAAAAAGCUCGUAGUUGAACCUUGGGCCUGGCUGGCCGGUCCGCCUCACCGCGUGUACUGGUCCGGCCGGGCCUUUCCCUCUGUGGAACCCCAUGCCCUUCACUGGGUGUGGCGGGGAAACAGGACUUUUACUUUGAAAAAAUUAGAGUGCUCCAGGCAGGCCUAUGCUCGAAUACAUUAGCAUGGAAUAAUAGAAUAGGACGUGUGGUUCUAUUUUGUUGGUUUCUAGGACCGCCGUAAUGAUUAAUAGGGACAGUCGGGGGCAUCAGUAUUCAAUUGUCAGAGGUGAAAUUCUUGGAUUUAUUGAAGACUAACUACUGCGAAAGCAUUUGCCAAGGAUGUUUUCAUUAAUCAGGAACGAAAGUUAGGGGAUCGAAGACGAUCAGAUACCGUCGUAGUCUUAACCAUAAACUAUGCCGACUAGGGAUCGGACGAUGUUAUUUUUUGACUCGUUCGGCACCUUACGAGAAAUCAAAGUGCUGG